UGAAGAAAUUCAACCAAGCAGA
rnacentral:sRNA from 1 species